GGAGGGUAUAGCUCAAGUGAUAGAGUGCUUGCUUGGAGUGCAGGAGGUCCUGGGUUCAAUCCCCAGUACCUCCU